UACGUAGGUGGCAAGCGUUGUCCGGAUUUAUUGGGCGUAAAGCGCGCGCGGGCGGUGAGGUAAGUCCGUCGUGAAAUCUCCCGGCUCAACUGGGAGGGUGCGGGGGAGACUGCCUGACUGGAGGCACUCAGAGGCCGGUGGAAUUCCCGGUGGAGUGGUGAAAUGCGUAGAGAUCGGGAGGAACACCAGUGGCGAAGGCGGCCGGCUGGGGGUGACCUGACGCUGAGGCGCGAAAGCGUGGGGAGCGAACCGG
rnacentral:rRNA from 1 species